CACGCCCGGCUAAUUUUUGUAUUUUUAGUAGAGACAGGGUUUUACCAUGUUGGCCAGGCUGGUCUUGAACUCCUGACCUCAGGUGAUCCACCUGCCUUGGCCUCCCAAAGUCCUGGGAUUACAGGCAUGAGCCACCGCAUCUGGCCUCAUUCACUUUUAUUUUCACAUUUGUUUUGGGCAGGAAGGACAUUAAAACAUAAACACUAAAAUUGGGAGCCAGUCAGAAUGGAGCAGAAUCAGAGGCCCUCCUUAUUGGACUGGGUGUAAACUCCUUGGUUGUUAGAUUUUGGAAAUUCCACAAUGUAUAACUAUUCCAUUACACCAUGUGGCUGUGCAAAGCCAUUCUAAGAAAGACUGCCUGCAUGUCCUAUAAACUUCCAUGUACAAAAAUCAAGGACUUGCCUUGAACCCUUGAACUGGGCCAAACUGUACACUGCCAACCAUAACAUCCUGGAAAAUAUUGAUGUUGUCCCAUAGAUCCCAUAUACUUUGUUCAUUCCUUUUCAUUUCUUUUUUCUUUUUUCUCCUCUGACUAUAUUUUCAAAUAGUCUGUCUUCAAGCUCACUGAUUCUUCUGUUCGAUCAAUUCUGCUGUUGAUGCUUUCUAUUGCAUUUUUCAUUUCAUCUAUUGUAAUUUGUAGUUCCAGGAUUUCUGUUUAAUUUUUGUGUUUAUUGUUUCAAUCUCUUUGUUAAACUUCACUGAUACAUUUCUGAAUGGAUUCUCAAUGUUUUCUUGAAGUUCAUUGAACUUCCUUAAAACAGCUAUUUUGAAUUUUUUGUCAGAGAAUUACACAUCUCCAUCACUUUAGGGUCAAUCUCUGGCACCUUAUUUUGUCUGUUUGGUGAGGUCAUAUUUCCCUGAAUGCUCUUGAUGCCUAUGUAGAUGCAAUUAUGUCUGCACAUUGAAGUAUUAGGUAUUUAUUUCAGUCUUCAC
rnacentral:lncRNA from 1 species